CCUACGGGGGGCAGCAGUGGGGAAUAUUGGACAAUGGGCGAAAGCCUGAUCCAGCCAUGCCGCGUGUGUGAAGAAGGCCUUCGGGUUGUAAAGCACUUUCAGUGGGGAAGAAAGCCUUGGGGCUAAUACCCUCGAGGAAGGACAUCACCCACAGAAGAAGCACCGGCUAACUCCGUGCCAGCAGCCGCGGUAAUACGGAGGGUGCGAGCGUUAAUCGGAAUUACGGGCGUAAAGCGCGCGUAGGCGGUCUGAUAAGCCGGUUGUGAAAGCCCCGGGCUCAACCUGGGAACGGCAUCCGGAAAUGUCAGGCUAGAGUGCAGGAGAGGAAGGUAGAAUUCCCGGUGGAGGGGUGAAAUGCGGAGGGAUCGGGAGGAAUACCAGUGGCGAAGGCGGCCUUCUGGACUGACCAUGACGCUGAGGUGGGAAAGCGUGGGUAGCAAACAGGAUUAGAUACCCGUGUAGUC
rnacentral:rRNA from 1 species